rnacentral:rRNA from 1 species
AUUGAACGCUGGCGGCAGGCCUAACACAUGCAAGUCGAGCGAGCGGCGGACGGGUGAGUAAUGUAUGGGAAACUGCCCGAUGGAGGGGGAUAACUACUGGAAACGGUAGCUAAUACCGCAUACCAUCAGAUGUACCCAGAUGGGAUUAGCUAGUAGGUGGGGUAAUGGCUCACCUAGGCGACGAUCCCUAGCUGGUCUGAGAGGAUGACCAGCCACACUGGAACUGAGACACGGCCCAGACUCCUACGGGAGGCAGCAGUGGGGAAUAUUGCACAAUGGGCGCAAGCCUGAUGCAGCCAUGCCGCGUGUGUGAAGAAGGCCUUCGGGUUGUAAAGUACUUUCAGUGGGGAGGCGUUACCCGCAGAAGAAGCACCGGCUAACUCCGUGCCAGCAGCCGCGGUAAUAC